rnacentral:lncRNA from 1 species
AUGCUUAAGUUCAAGCAUGCGUGCAGCCCUGGUGAAGUUAACUGUAUCUUGCUGCUCCGCAGGGCCCUGGGGCCUGAGUGUCACACUUUCUCUGCCUUCUUCACUAGUAACAGCAAAGCUUUUGGGCUGAGGACAUGGGAAACUGGGAAAAAAGUACAAAAGCCCAAGUGCAUCUGGCACAGAACAGAGAUGGGUGAGAAGGGGGUGAAUGCAGCUUUCUGCCCUGAGGUGGUAGGAGCUAGUAACCAGUUUGGCACCAGUCCCUGCAUUAUCCCAGUAGCAGACAUGACAGACACAGAAGAGUGAGGGUGAGACUGCCUGGGGUCUGUUCUUGCCUGCUGGAGGUUCCCUUCCAACACAGGGCUCUACUGGAGGGUCAGUCAGGGCACCUUUGGACCUCAGCAUGUAAGGCAGCCAGGAAAAAGCAACGCACAGGGCCAAGAGAACAAUUUCAAAAGGAAGAGAAAGAAGAGUAAGAGGAGUAAUAGCACUCAAGAGAGCUUUCUUCAUUGACCUUAAGAAUGGUCCUGCAAUCAAAAUAGUACCCAAAGUACUACAGAGUACCCAAAUCCCCCUGUCACCAAAGUGACGGGUGCAUGUUAACUGAGAUUUUAAUGUAACAAGAGGAAAACUAAUCUCCAUGGUCAAAGACUUAUAACUGCUCCCUCAUCUUGUUCUUGAUGCAUUGUUUUUCUUGGGUUGGGUAACAGCAAAGGCAUAAGGAUACCAGCAAUCACUGAAUUUGUGCAUAAUAUCACAAAUCACCAUAAAUGGUCUCUUCAGUUUUCUGAGAUGCUCUAAUCCAGUGUUGAUCAUUUCAAGUAAAAACUCCACUUGUUGCAAAAAGUACUGGUAGUUCUUUAAGCCACCUUCCCUAAAGCCAGUUAUUUCAUUUUUCCAGGGUGGAACUGCUGAAUGACCUUUUCUCUGAUAUAUUAAUAUUAGCAAUGGAAAACGAGACACCUUAGGAUGAUUUACACCAAACUUAUUUUUCAAGUGAGCUAUUCUCAUUCUUUCUAAAAUUAAUUAUUAAAGCAAGCACAUCAAGUUCAAGCUGCACAAAUGUGCUAUCAAGAUAUGGGCAUUAAAAUCCUUAUGCCUUGAAUGUUUCCCUUGAGUUUUAUUUCAAAGUCAAAUGAUCAGAGACAUCAUCAUAGACCAAAUUCAGUCUUUGUGUAGGCCAGCAUUAAAUUGCAGCCAUUCCCAUCAGGACUGAAUUGGUGGCAGGCACCUGUUAGAUUACAAAGUCACCAUUUAAAAAAAAAAAAAAAAAGGAAAAGAAAAAACAGACCAGAACUAUUAAACUUAUUACAUGUCAAGUACAUUAAAUAAAAGAGGAUCCUACCAGUUGCA